rnacentral:lncRNA from 1 species
CUCCACGUUGGUCAUCAUUAAUAUUGCUGAAUUUCCCUUCUUCUUCCAUAAUUGACUUAUUUUUAAUUUCCUUGUACGUGCUAUUUGAAGCAUGUCAUGGCAGCUUUCACUUUGGUAGGGCAUAACUCCAAUAUAUAUUUUUCAAAAAAUUGAGAAAUCGUUAUUUAUUAAAGUAUCACUAAUUAUGAUCAAUUAUGAGAUCAAACUCUUACCAUACAUCAUAGACCACUUGCUUAACUAUAAUCUUCAAUAUUGGAGUACUUGCUUAUUUCAUUCUCAAGAAUAUAACAUGUUCCCCCCACUUAGGAGAUUUUAGCUAGGCCCUAGCAAUAUUUCACAAAGAUUCUUGUUACCCUUAUGCAUAUAUGUUUUAUUUUGUAAAGUCAUUACCUGGUAUCAUUAUGCAUGUGUUUCUAUCAAUCAUUGUUAUUGCUCCCUUUUCUGACUCCAAUUGUGCUUUCAUUUUCUUGGGGACCAAUGGUGGGUCAUCAUUGAUGAGGCUUUAGUAAUGGCUAUUUAUUAGUGUCACUAACAAUACGUUCAACAUGCUUCAUAGAAGGUAUAUUAUUGAAAAUUUAUUGGAGUCUCCAAUUGUCAUGGUCUUUCAAUUAAGCAAUGCAUAUGUGGCCAAAUUCAUUUUAUGAGCUAGUUUUUAAGAGUGGGAUCUAAAUCCAUUUCAUGGUAUCAGAGCUGGAUUUUGCAGGGCAUGUAAGAAUUGGACCUAGUCACAUCGUGUGAAAGUGGAUACUGAAGUUAUAUUUGAGUCUCACAUUGUCAAAGUGUAUGAGUUAGUUUUUAAGAGUAAGAUCCAAAUUCAUUUAACACAUGUAUACCACGACAACAAAACUUAAAACUACUCUGCAUACUUGAGCAAACAGCUUGAUUU